AACCUUACCAGCUUUUGACAUGUCCGGUUUGAUCGGCAGAGAUGCCUUUCUUCAGUUCGGCUGGCCGGAACACAGGUGCUGCAUGGCUGUCGUCAGCUCGUGUCGUGAGAUGUUGGGUUAAGUCCCGCAACGAGCGCAACCCUCGCCCCUAGUUGCCAUCAUUCAGUUGGGAACUCUAGGGGGACUGCCGGUGAUAAGCCGCGAGGAAGGUGGGGAUGACGUCAAGUCCUCAUGGCCCUCACAGGCUGGGCUACACACGUGCUACAAUGGCGGUGACAAUGGGCAGCGAAGGAGCGAUCCGGUGCUGAUCCCAAAAAGCCGUCUCAGUUCAGAUUGCACUCUGCAACUCGAGUGCAUGAAGGUGGAAUCGCUAGUAAUCGUGGAUCAGCAUGCCACGGUGAAUACGUUCCCGGGCCUUGUACACACCGCCCGUCACACCAUGGGAGUUGGGUUUACCCGAAGGCGUCGCGCUAACCGCAAGGAGGCAGGCGACCACGGUAGGCUCAGCGACUGGGGUGAAGUCGUAACAAGGUAGCCGUAAUCUAGAUGC
rnacentral:rRNA from 1 species